rnacentral:rRNA from 1 species
UACGAAGGGGGCUAGCGUUGUUCGGAAUUACUGGGCGUAAAGGGCUCGUAGGCGGCCAACUAAGUCAGACGUGAAAUCCCUCGGCUUAACCGGGGAACUGCGUCUGAUACUGGAUGGCUAGAGUGUGGGAGAGGGAUGCGGAAUUCCAGGUGUAGCGGUGAAAUGCGUAGAUAUCUGGAGGAACACCGGUGGCGAAGGCGGCAUCCUGGACCACGACUGACGCUGAGUGAGCGAAAGCCAGGGGAGCAAACGGG